rnacentral:snRNA from 1 species
AUAGUUACCUNGCAGAGGAGACACCAUGAUCAAGAAGGUGGUUUUCCCAGGGUGAGGCUCAUCUAUUGCANUUCGGGUGUGCUGACCCCUGCAAUUAUAUUUUGUGAGCCAGUUUGGCCUUGUGGUUAGCGUGUCAGA